rnacentral:rRNA from 1 species
UACGUAGGGGGCAAGCGUUGUUCGGAAUUACUGGGCGUAAGGGCGCGUAGGCGGCACAGCAAGUCGGGAGUGAAAGCCCGGGGCUCAACCCCGGAACUGCUUUCGAAACUACUGAGCUAGAGUGCGGAAGAGGCAACUGGAAUUCCCAGUGUAGCGGUGAAAUGCGUAGAUAUCGAGAGGAACACCUGCGGCGAAGGCGGGUUGCUGGGCUGACACUGACGCUGAUGCGCGAAAGCUAGGGGAGCGAACGGG